GACUGGAAUGAUGAAAAAGUAUCCUUAGGCGUGGUUGUGGCCGUCUUGGUCACCUAUGUGCCACUUGGCCAAUGCUAGGGCUUGUCAUAGUUACACUGACUGUUA